UACGGAAGGCAGCAGUGGGGAAUAUUGCACAAUGGGCGCAAGCCUGAUGCAGCCAUGCCGCGUGUAUGAAGAAGGCCUUCGGGUUGUAAAGUACUUUCAGUCGUGAGGAAGGUGUUAAGGUUAAUAACCUUAGCAAUUGACGUUAGCGACAGAAGAAGCACCGGCUAACUCCGUGCCAGCAGCCGCGGUAAUACGGAGGGUGCGAGCGUUAAUCGGAAUUACUGGGCGUAAAGGGCACGCAGGCGGUUAAUUAAGUUGGAUGUGAAAUCCCCGGGCUUAACCUGGGAAUGGCAUUCAAGACUGGUUAGCUAGAGUCUUGUAGAGGGGGUAGAAUUCCAUGUGUAGCGGUGAAAUGCGUAGAGAUGUGGAGGAAUACCGGUGGCGAAGGCGGCCCCUGGACAAAGGCUGACGCUCAUGUGCGAAAGCGUGGGGAGCAACAGGGAUUA
rnacentral:rRNA from 1 species